UGGAAGUGUCUAAAAUGGACCUGUGUUCAA
rnacentral:piRNA from 1 species